UGCACAAUUUGUGGGCAAAGACCCAUAGACAGGAGCGAUAAACAAAUCCCCUUCUGCAACCCAGAACUCAGUGUUCUGUAUGAGUUUUGAUGCAGAUGAGAAGGGAUAUA
rnacentral:snoRNA from 1 species